rnacentral:lncRNA from 1 species
AGCUGUCUGCGUGCAGGUCCUCUUGUUCCCUUUAUCUUCUCUUUUUUGUUUCGAGCUCUUGCUGAUCACUUCCCCAAAAAGUUACUGCAUAAUUUGUUUUUGGUUAGGUUGUUUGAAACCUCUGACAUAAUAUAGUCAAUAAACGGGCUGUUGUUUAGUUAGUUUGCAUAAUUACCUGGAGGCAGAUGUCUCUUGUGGUUUUGAUAUCUACUGAGUUGAAUGAUUUCUUCCCAAGCCAAAAUUAUUAAUUAUCCUUUGUUACAUUUUUUUCCUUUGAUUGUAAUUAUCUGCUUGUAUAGUGGGUAUUAGAAACAGUGUCGGCAUGAAAUAUAUUGUUUAUUUGCACUGGGUUUUCUUAAUAACCACUGCAGUAAUUGGAAGUGCCAGUAUUUGAUUCCAAUAUUUUAAACAAAUUAGACAGUUGGCCUGUUUAUGGAUGAAUCUUUUCUAAGGAGAAGAGGACUUGUUUCUCUCCUCCCUCCUGCCUGCCUUGCACCGCACUGCUAAUUGGUUUGUAAGAACUUUAGUAAAGGUGUAGCAGAGCUUAACAAUGCCACUUACUCCUAGUUCACAAAGAUGAAAAAUCACAUUCAGUCCAACCCCUAGGACAACGCAAGCUGGCGAACCAAUGAUUUCUCUAGUAACUCCACAGCUUCUGCCUGAGCUACACUAGCUCUUUUAGAAAGAUACCUAUUACUGAUUUAAAGAUAGAGCUCCUUUUUUUUAAUCUAUGAGUUAUGCUCCUUUUGAUUAUUUCUCAUUAGUGUCAUUAAUGGGAGGGGAGAAGGAGCUGAGGCUGAGGUGCGAUAAGCUGUCCUCAUAGGAAAGUCGGCUGAAGAACAUCAUAGCCUCAGCUGGUGAGGUCACCUAAAUGAACUAGUCCUGGCAGGACGAAAAUCUCUGCACUGCAGUCUGGCCGAAGUAUCUCACCAGGACAGUGGGAGAAAUGUUUCUCUCAUCAGCCCCUUUGAGAGUGCACACACCAUCCCCUUGUCUUGUGGAGGCAAUCGAUCCUCACAGCACGAAGGCUGGUGCUCAGGGGGGCAGAUGGCUCAUGAGCUGGGAGAAGAAGCUGCGCUUAAUACUCUACUGCGCGUCGGGGGGCUGCAUUUCGUUCUCCGCUCUGCACGCGUGCUGGGUAAGAG